UCCACCUCUCGACCCGCCUCCGCCGCCCCUCCGACCCCGUCGUCUACUCCGCCCCACCGCCGGGUUAGGGUUGGAGAUGAGGGACGACCGACGGAUCCGAACGUGCUAUCAGGCCAAGGAACACGGGCGCGAGUGUGGCGGCGGCGGCCGGCGCAUCUAGGCCUGAGGCCGGGCGAUGGAGCGCGGGCGAGGCGGGCGCGGGCGCGGCGGCGGCGGAGCUCCACUGCAGGCGUCGCUGGCGUUCGCACUUCGCAGCGGCAGGGCUCCGUUGCGGCCGCGAAGUUGGGGUGCGAGCAGAGCUCACCUGCAGGCCCCUGCGGCUGCUCCCGACCGUGUGGACCGUCGAUCCUCUGCUCCCGCCGUCUCUGUACGUGGCGCCACCACUGUUUUUCUCUUCCGUUGGUGAAGCCACCCUCCGCCCAGUACACAAAUCACGGUCCUCAUCUUGAUCUCUGUUGCUGAUUCAUCUGUGUUGUAAUUUGUUUCUAUUGUGGGAUUGGUUCCUCUUGUGUCGAUGGUCUGAGGAAAGGGGCAGGCAGUGGAGCUCAGCUGGAAGCCGCGGCUGGGGCAAAAGGGGCAGGCGGCGGAGCUCAGUGGUGGAGUGGGCGGCGGAGUUCGGAUGGAGGGCACAACUACUCGGCUCGUGGUGGUCGCUGAUGCCUUCUGCUGCAGCUCUAUGUGGUGCCGUGGUGGCCAGGGGGACGGGCGUAUGGCAGCGAUGCAGCAGUGGAGCAGCACCCACAACGCUGCUAUGCAAUGUCAGCACUUCUAGCAGCAGCCCGACAGCAUUGUUGCAGCCAUGUUCAGUAGUAGGCCACCAAGGACGGAAGGGCCUAGGCAACUACAACAAGCAAGGAUUGUUAAUGUGCAAUUCAACAAACUGAAGAUUAAAGAAUUGUUGUGACAUGGACAAAGAUGGAGACAUCACAUCUUUUUUUUCCAGAAAAUAUGUGACAAAGAGGAUAGCUUUGCCUUCCCUGGUAGUGGUUUUGAAGGAAGAACAAACUGAACAUCCAUGUAUGCUGAGGUAGCCGAUGACAUGGGCAUAAAUUUUGAGUUCAGAUUGGUAAUACUUCAGUUAGCACAAGACACAUAUAGUUGGUAUCCAACUUGCACUUUUUCCAGCUCAAGAUCAAUGUUUAAUGGAACAGGGUAUCAUUGUUCCAAGGAUGGUUGCACAGGUAUAACUAUAUUGAUCUUUAGGCACAUUUUAGAUUCUCUAAUAACCAAAAGUGUUAUCAGUAUUAGGCUGAAUGUGUAAUGUAAUGAUAAUUCUAUAUAUCAUAUAUAUAUAUUUAUAUACUACUGAUGAAUAAGAUGAGACAAUAAUAGUAGUACCUUGUGAUGAAUGUAUAUGUUAUAUACUUAGUACCUAUGUCAUAACCAGGAAUUCUUUACCUUUAACUCAUCGUCUACUCUACUGGUUCCCUUUCCAUAUUUGUAAAGUAGUAUCUGUAUACACAUUAUUUCUCAUUUCUUUAGAUACUUCAGAAAUCAAUAAAAUUGUGUUUUGGAACGAAAUAAGUGCUAUGGCAUCGGUUUGCCUAGAGGAAGGAACAUGCAGUGUUGGUGCCAUUGAUUUUGAGUGACAUUGUUUAUUCUAUUGAAAAAAGAAUAUGGUCCUAUCAAGCACAACAGAUAUAAAGGUCACGUACAUGUUUGCUCUUUUCACAGCCAAAUUUUUUAGAUAAUUCAUGGUUCAUCUCUUCCCCUAAUGUACGCCUCUUUCUUAAAACUAAAUAUUUUCAUACCAUAUUCUCAUUUGUUUAAAAUGGAUGUGCAUGUGUACAACCCAAAUGGAAGCACAUGGGAGCUCAUCAGACUAAGUGACUAACGAUAAGAUCUCUUGGCUAUGGUAAUGGCUGAAACAUUUGGGGUACUUCUGUAUAAAUAGGAUCUGGUCAUGAAUUAAGAUAUUUGCAGCCUUCCAAACAGGGGUGUCAGGGUCGACAAUAUACUAUGUGUAAUCUCCAAUUCGCCUUUCUAAUGCAUAUGCAGUUAUAUAAGCCAAGCCACUUUUGAUCUCUCCUUGAAGGCAGCUGGGUAUUUGGACUAUGCAAUUCAUCUUGCAUGUGGCCUCUAAUUGCAUAUGGGUAUAUGAUAUAAUUUCGAUGAUCCUAUUCCUAUUGCUCUAAAGAGGGUUAUAUCUCUUCAUGGCGCCUAAAAUACAAAUUGCACUCAAACCGGGCACCGGCUUCACCGUCACCUGCCACACCCUCGUGUUAGGCGGCGCCGGCGGCAGCAUAGCGUGGAAGGAGGACUACACGGUCACCUCCGGCGAGCUCUGGGAGGCCAACACUCCCGAGCGCCUCCAGCGCCGCAUCCUCAUGUUCCCUCAAGUCGACAUCGACAGGCCACACGUAGCGCACUUCCUUUCCGUCGAGUUUGGAUACGCCAACAAGAAGAUGUCCAUGGCUGCCGCGCCCUUCUCACCCCUUGUGAGUUCCCCAAGUUCCUCAAUUCAUCAAGGAGGAAGAGGAAGCAUAUGGAAUGAGUCUGUUCCCGCCAACUUCAUGGUUGUUGUCUUCCCGACCAACCAUUUUGCAUCCGUCUAAAUGGUUCCACGAGAAAGGCUCCUGUACGUCUUGCUUUCAUGCUGUGGCCUAUAGGAAGCAUCUAUCUUUUAUAGUCUAUUUUUAUGCUGUGUGAACGGAUAAGUUAUGUCAAGUUUAUCGUGUGCUGUCAAUAAAGAAGUUUGUCGUGUGUCCA